AAAAAAAAGAGAAGCAAGAUCGAGCUCUGCGCGACCCAGAGCACCGCGCGCGACGCCGCGUCCCUCCGCCUCCGUCAGGCCAUCUCCGGCCGGAGCACCGGCUGCAUCGUGACCGCCUCAUCGUCGCCGUCCUCCCCGUGGCCGUUUUCCUUCCUAUAUCCAACGGAGGAGAGAGAAUCGAAGAAGGAAAGGCCGACAGCUCCUGCAUGACUCCGACGACUUCGCAGCUUCGGUCCGGCGUCCUCCGGCCACCGUUUGGGUCGAUUUUUUGGCUUAGUAGCUGAUUUACAAGGUUCCUUAAUUAAAGUGCAGGUAGCAGAGAGUUUCUUGCCCAUCAAUUCGUUGGAAAGUUCUCCUGCUAAUUGGGAUUUUCCAAAGGUAAAUUGAAGCUUUCAUUGGAAGGAUUGGUUUAACUAUAUGGCUGCUGUGAUUUCUGUUUUGGAAUGGAAUCAUGUAGUUGUCAGAGAGUUUGCAAGAUUGGUUAAUUCCAUGUUGGUAGAAUUAUAGCAUUGAAUUCAAGUUGGUUUCAUUGUAAUGCUACUGUGGUUUACUAUUUUAUUUGAAAUUGAGUGGCAAUUGGGAAGUCCUUUGUUCAUUGUUUUGCCCAGUUAAUUACUCUG